AUCCCUGUGGCGCAGUGGUAGCGCGUCGUUCUUAUAUGGGAAACUCGGCUUCAGUCGAUCUUAUAUCGCUAUGCGAAUGUCGUGGGUUCGACCCCCACCAGGGAUA